rnacentral:rRNA from 1 species
UCAUCUUCUCAUUGGCUGCCAACAAUAAGGGGUGGAUUAAAUAAGGCCUAUGCUAUUGUGUCAAGCGCGCCUGAGAGAUGAUCAUACUUUUUAGGUGAUCCCAAUUCAUGCGUCGAUCCAUGGAUGGCGUAUCGAAU